rnacentral:rRNA from 1 species
AGCCGCAAUCUCGUGCUAAGGUAGCAUAAUCAUUUGUCUUUUAAAUAAAGACUAGAAUAAAAGAUUAAACUUUUUAAUUUUUUUCUAAAAUUUAAAAUUUUUUAAUUUUUUUUAAAUGCUAAAAAACAUUUAUUUUUAAGAAAGACGAUAAGACCCUAUUGAACUUUACUUAAGUUUUACUGGGAAAGUAAAUAAUUUAAUAUUUUUAUAUUAAUAUACAUGUAUAAUUAUCUAUUAUAAUUAAUAUAACAAGUUACCAUAGGGAUAACAGUAUAAUUAUUUUUAAUAAUAAAUUAGAUUAUAACCUCGAUGUUGAAUUAAUAAAUCUAUUUUAAACAAAAUUUAAAAAAGAAAGUCUGUUCGACUUUUAAAAAAUUACAUGAUUUGAGUUCAGACCGGUAUAAGCCAGGUCGGUUUCUAUCUUCUAUAUAUUUUAUACAGUACGAAAGGACCUAUAAAUCUUAAUUAUUUAAUUAAUUUGGCAGAAUAAUGCAUUAGAAUUAGAAUCUAAUAAAAA